GGCGAGCGAAAGGGAGGAGCCCAGCGCCGAAUCCCCGGCCUCCGGUCGCGGGAAAUGWGGUGUUUAGGAGUGAGCGUGCCGAGUUCGACGGCUGCGGCAAGUCCCCCUGACCGGGGCCUGUCCGYAGCGGGUGCGAGGCCCAUAGCCGCCGCUUUCGUCUCGGAUGCGAUCUCCUUGGAGUCGGGUUGCUUGGGAGUGCAGCCCUAAUCGGGUGGUAAACUCCACCUAAGGCUAAAUACCGCCGUGAGACCGAUAGCAAACAAGUACCGUGAGGGAAAGUUGCAAAGAACUUUGAAGAGAGAGUUCAARAGUACGUGAAACUGCUCAGAGGUAAACGGGUGGGCCCUCGAAAUCCUGUGGCGAGAGGAUUCAGUCUGGCUCGGCGGACCUGCGGCGGGAAGACUCGGGUAGGGCUUCCCGUGACUGGGGCCGUCCUGCUGCGGGGCUUCCGUCGUUCCAGACGCAUUUGUCUCUCGUCCGAAGGACGCUGCAGCCGGUUUGGAAGUGCAAGCGCGGCGGCCUGAAGGUCGGGUAAUGGCAGGUGGCCGGCGGCUCGCCUCKUGCGGGUUGUCGGUUGUUAGCCGUCCCGUCAGUGGCUCGUCUCCAGACCGAGGUGUCGCGAGUCCCGUAAGGGACUCUUCGUCUCCACCCCAGAGUUGCGGGACUGGUCGUGGCAAGGGCUCCGUAUUCCCACCGUCGCACUACUAAGGAGUGGGCGGAGGGYUGCGGGUCCCCGUUGGCUGCGACGGACCCGUCGGGGACUUGAGGCUGGCAGCGAGUAGGUCGGUCACCCACCCGACCCGUCUUGAAACACGGACCAAGGAGUCUAACAUGUGCGCGAG
rnacentral:rRNA from 1 species